rnacentral:rRNA from 1 species
UACAGAGGGUGCGAGCGUUAAUCGGAAUUACUGGGCGUAAAGCGCGCGUAGGCGGCUUUGCAAGUCGGGUGUGAAAUCCCCAGGCCUAACCUGGGAACUGCAUUCGAGACUGCAUGGCUAGAGUAUGGGAGAGGGAAGUGGAAUUUCAGGUGUAGCGGUGAAAUGCGUAGAUAUCUGAAGGAACAUCAGUGGCGAAAGCGACUUCCUGGACCAAUACUGACGCUCAUGUGCGAAAGCGUGGGGAGCAAACAGG